UACGUAGGGGGCAAGCGUUGUCCGGAUUUAUUGGGCGUAAAGAGCGUGUAGGCGGCCUGACAAGUCUGCUGUGAAAACUCGAGGCUCAACUUCGAGCUGUCGGCGGAAACUAUCUGGCUAGAGUCCGGAAGAGGAGAGUGGAAUUCCUGGUGUAGCGGUGAAAUGCGCAGAUAUCAGGAAGAACACCCGUGGCGAAGGCGGCUCUCUGGGACGGUACUGACGCUGAGACGCGAAAGCGUGGGGAGCGAACAGG
rnacentral:rRNA from 1 species